AUUGAACGCUGGCGGCAGGCCUAACACAUGCAAGUCGAGCGGAUGAAGGGAGCUUGCUCCUGGAUUCAGCGGCGGACGGGUGAGUAAUGCCUAGGAAUCUGCCUGGUAGUGGGGGAUAACGUCCGGAAACGGGCGCUAAUACCGCAUACGUCCUGCGGGAGAACGUGGGGGAUCUUCGGACCUCACGCUAUCAGAUGAGCCUAGGUCGGAUUAGCUAGUUGGUGGGGUAAAGGCCUACCAAGGCGACGAUCCGUAACUGGUCUGAGAGGAUGAUCAGUCACACUGGAACUGAGACACGGUCCAGACUCCUACGGGAGGCAGCAGUGGGGAAUAUUGGACAAUGGGCGAAAGCCUGAUCCAGCCAUGCCGCGUGUGUGAAGAAGGUCUUCGGAUUGUAAAGCACUGUAAGUUGGGAGGAAGGGCAGUAAGUUAAUACCUUGCUGUUUUGACGGUACCAACAGAAUAAGCACCGGCUAACUUCGUG
rnacentral:rRNA from 1 species